GACGUAGGGCGCGAGCGUUGUCCGGAUUUAUUGGGCGUAAAGAGCUCGUAGGCGGUUGGGCAAGUCACGUGUGAAAUCUCCACGCUCAACGUGGAGGCGCCACGUGAGACUGCCCUGACUCGAGUCCGGUAGGGGAGCGUGGAAUUCCCGGUGUAGCGGUGAAAUGCGCAGAGAUCGGGAGGAACACCCGUAGCGAAGGCGGCGCUCUGGGCCGGUACUGACGCUGAGGAGCGAAAGCGUGGGGAGCAAACAGG
rnacentral:rRNA from 1 species